rnacentral:rRNA from 1 species
GACCCGUCUUGAAACACGGACCAAGGAGUUUAACUUGUGCGCGAGUCAUAGGGUNCUACGAAACCUAAAGGCGUAGUGAAAGUAAAGAUUUGCCUUUGCAAAUCAAGGUAGGAUCUCGGUUCCAAUGUGUGUCAAACACAUGGGCUGGGCGCACUACCGGCUCGUCCCAUGCUUUAUCAAGUGGGGCGACGCAAGAGCGCACAUGUUGAGACCCGAAAGAUGGUGAACUAUGCUUGAGUAGGUUGAAGCCAGAGGAAACUCUGGUGGAGGACCGUAGCAAUUCUGACGUGCAAAUCGAUUGUCAAACUUGAGUAUAGCGGCGAAAGACUAAUCGAACCAUCUAGUAGCUGGUUCCCUCCGAAGUUUCCCUCAGGAUAGCUGGCACUCGGGAAACAAUCAGUUUUAUCCGGUAAAGCGAAUGAUUAGCAGUAUUGGGGGUGACAUAUCCUCAACUGAUUCUCAAACUUUAAAUGGGUGAGAUGCUUUACUCUCUUAAUUGGAGUAAGGCUUUACUGAAUGAGAGUGCCUAGUGGGCCAUUUUUGGUAAGCAGAACUGGCGCUGUGGGAUGAACCAAACGUCUGGUUAAGGAGCCAAACAUAACGCUCAUGAGAUACCACAAAAGGUGUUGGUUGAUAUUGACAGCAGGACGGUGGCCAUGGAAGUUGGAAUCCGCUAAGGAGUGUGU